rnacentral:rRNA from 1 species
GACGUAGGAUGCGAGCGUUGUCCGGAUUUAUUGGGCGUAAAGAGUUCGUAGGCGGUUCGUUAAGUUUGAUGUUAAAGAUCAAGGCUCAACCUUGGGAUUGCAUUGAAUACUGGCGGACUUGAGUGCAGUAGAGGCGAGUGGAAUUCUCAGUGUAGCGGUGAAAUGCGUAGAUAUUGGGAAGAACACCGGUGGCGAAGGCGGCAUCCUGGACCAAUAUUGACGCUGAGGAGCGAAAGCCAGGGGAGCAAACGGG